rnacentral:lncRNA from 1 species
UGGUAGGUACCCUCCCCAGGCACCCGACCGGAGUAAACUUAAUUGGAAAUGCGUGCGUUUACAUCUGUGAUGGCCUAUACAAAAUUUCAGGUUCAACGGACCCCUCCCUGAAAAGUUGUCGAGCGUCUUCUAAUAUUAGAUCCUAAUUUCUAAUUAGAAUCUAAUUAGAAAUUAGAUUAGAACGGAAAACAUUCUAAUGUCAGGAACAACCCUAUAUAUAUGUUAUGUUAACCUUGUAUGUACUACAUUAUAUGUACGAGGUUGGCACGUAUAGGUAGUCGACAGGGAUUCACUAUUUUAGGGAAGAAAGAAUGUACAAGGAUUUCCAUGCCUUAGUGGUCCU